CGGCGGACGGGUGAGUAACACGUGGGUAACCUGCCUGUAAGACUGGGAUAACUCCGGGAAACCGGAGCUAAUACCGGAUAGUUCCUUGAACCGCAUGGUUCAAGGAUGAAAGACGGUUUCGGCUGUCACUUACAGAUGGACCCGCGGCGCAUUAGCUAGUUGGUGGGGUAAUGGCUCACCAAGGCGACGAUGCGUAGCCGACCUGAGAGGGUGAUCGGCCACACUGGGACUGAGACACGGCCCAGACUCCUACGGGAGGCAGC
rnacentral:rRNA from 2 species